GAUGAAGAACGCAGCGAAAUGCGAUAAGUAGUGUGAAUUGCAGAAUUCAGUGAAUCAUCGAAUCUUUGAACGCACCUUGCGCUCCUUGGUAUUCCGAGGAGCAUGCCUGUUUGAGUGUCAUGAAAUUCUCAACCUUUUCAGCUUUCUUUGUUGAUCAGGCUUGGAUGUGGGAGUAUGCGGGCUUCUCAGAAGUCGGCUCUCCUGAAAUGCAUUAGCGGGACCUUUGUUGCCUGGCUUUGGUGUGAUAAUUAUCUACGCCAUUGUAGUCAAGCAGCUUAAAAUGAGGUUUCAGCUUCUAACCGUCUCCCCUGAGACAACUUUUUGACAAUUUGACCUCAAAUCAGGUAGGACUACCCGCUGAACUUAAGCAUAUCAAUAAGCGGAGGA
rnacentral:misc_RNA from 1 species